GUCAUUAAAAACAUUCAGAUAUGCUAGCUAUCAUUCAGUUGGCUCAGUAAUACUUUCAGUUAAAAAUAAUAAUUUUAUAAAAAGAGCAGGCAAUCUAAUAGGCAUGUUACUGAUUAUAUGUUCCCAGUGGAUUCAUUACUUAUAUAGUUGCCAGUGCUUAAGAGUUACAGCCAACCUUUUCAGGGAUCCUUUGAGUGUAUAUUGGGAUGUGCUUGUCUGUCUGUUUUGCGUGUGAAACUUGAUGUGAUGGGCUGGGACUUGCCCAAAUCAGGUUGCUGAUUUAGUUGUGAUGUUGCUGCCAGUGAUACCUAGCACGUCCUUUCUGAUGUGUGGGCAAACACUGAUUGCUGGAAGGUCACACUGCUCAUGCCUCCCCUGAGAGGGCCACUUGUGAAGAGAGAGGCCAGCACAGCCCUUUACAGCUGCUGCCCUGACUGCUGAGAUUGCCACCAAGGAGUGGUGCGUGUCUUUGUGGUGUGAACAAGUUAUUAAGAAGCAGCUUUGAACUUGUGAGACCCAUUUUACACCGGAACUGCUGGAUGGCUGUCAGAUGUUAACCACUUCUGUACUUGAUAAAGUGGGUUUAGAUUUAAUUUAAAAAUAACUUUUAAAAAAGUGUAAUGACAUCAUCCUCAUCUCCUUAUACAUUUGCUUAUCUACAGAAAGUCACUUAAGUGAGAACACUUCUUCUGUCUUGGAAAUUUUGUCUGCUCCUGUGCCUGUCAUCCUGGUGUGAGUAACUUGGAACAACCCAUCAUAGGAUUCAUGAGGGAAAUAUGUGUCAAGACAGAGAAAUCAUUAAAGGUUUCAUUCAGGGGUUAUUUUGGAGGCUGAGAAAACCGACGAUGAGAAAAGUUCCCCGACAUUCAAAGUGUGGUGUGUAACUGGUGAGGGCCUUGCUUUGGGGACAGAUGCCUGAUAAGAAUUUGCAUUUUAGUGAGUGCUUAUCUCAAAUAGGUGGGCGGACUUCAGCUACACAGCAGAGUCUCUGGUCUCAAGGGACUUUCUGUCUAAUCUGACAACUGCUUUGAAUUCAUCACCUUGCAGGGAGCCAUUUGCUGUUAACCUCUUCUCUGGGUGGCUAAGGAAGCCCCUUUCAUUUUGUUUGAAGGGGCAGUAACAGAAGGCUGUAAAACUUCUGACCUGGUGAAAUGUUUUGGACCCUGAAACCUGAUUCUUAGGUAGAAUCCGGGUUGUUGUGGGAACAAUGGAGAAGCCUGACGUGGAUAUAUAUCAGUGGGCUGUGGACUAUUUCAUAUGUAGGUCACAGCGGGGGAAGAUAUGGAGGCAUCAGUUUAUCUUGAUCUCGUUAGAACUGAUCGGUGGUUAAUGCUUCACAUAGUUAAGCAAGAGACUUCGGCUACAGAUGUAGUAAAUAAAGCAGUGCCAGGCUUCAUCCUGCGGCCCCGAGGCCAGCUGCGUGUGUCUGGACUGGUCCUGUCUGAGUGAGCCCUGCUCUUUUCGAAGCAGGAUGGCUGCAUUCAGAGUGCCCGCUGAGAGCGGUCCCUGCCCAUCUCAGUGCUGGCACUGAGCCUGGGAAUUGUUUGGGAGAGCAUGAGUGGCGGGCCCACAGGGUGCCAGGCGCUUCUCUAACAUUCUUCUAACAGUGUUCUGAGGCUCAGCCAGAAUUCCAGCACUGUUAGCUUUAGGAUAGAUGUAGCCUGAGCUCCCACCCUAGUCUGUGGCACAGUACUGAGGAUAUUGAAGCCAGGAGGAGCUGAGGAAGCCCAGCCUGUCCCAGCAGGUGCUUGCACCUUGCACUAUCAGCCUUUUGUGCACAGAAUGUAAACAUCACCAACAGCAAGGCACAUCUGGGAACUUCACCCUGACCUGUUUCCUUCUUCAUUUAAAAACAGCUUAAUAUGCAUCUUAACGUAAAAUAAAGCUAAAAAGAACA